rnacentral:rRNA from 1 species
AACGAACGCUGGCGGCAGGCUUAACACAUGCAAGUCGAACGCCCCGCAAGGGGAGUGGCAGACGGGUGAGUAACGCGUGGGAACAUACCCUUUUCUACGGAAUAGCUCUGGGAAACUGGAAUUAAUACCGUAUACGCCCUACGGGGGAAAGAUUUAUCGGGGAAGGAUUGGCCCGCGUUGGAUUAGCUAGGUGGUGGGGUAAAGGCCUACCAAGGCUACGAUCCAUAGCUGGUCUGGGAGGAUGAUCAGCCACAUUGGGACUGAGACACGGCCCAAACUCCGACAGGAGGCAGCUGUGGGGAAUAUUGGACAAUGGGCGCAAGCCUGAUCCAGCUAUGCCGCGUGAGUGAUGAAGGCCUUAGGGUUGUAAAGCUCUUUCACCGAUGAAGAUAAUGACGGUAGUCGGAGAAGAAGCCCCGGCUAACUUCGUGCCAGCCGCCGCCGUAACAC